CACAGGUGCUGCAUGGCUGUCGUCAGCUCGUGUCGUGAGAUGUUGGGUUAAGUCCCGCAACGAGCGCAACCCUUAUCCCAGUUGCCAUCAGGUAAAGCUGGGAACUCUGGGAGACUGCCGGUGAUAAACCGGAGGAAGGCGGGGAUGACGUCAAGUCCUCAUGGCCCUUACAUCCCGGGCUACACACGUGCUACAAUGGCAGGUACAGAGGGCUGCGAAGCCGCGAGGUGGAGCGAAUCCCAGAAAACCUGUCUCAGUCCGGAUUGAAGUCUGCAACUCGACUUCAUGAAGGCGGAAUCGCUAGUAACCGCGAAUCAGCAGGUCGCGGUGAAUACGUUCCCGGGCCUU
rnacentral:rRNA from 1 species